rnacentral:rRNA from 1 species
UACGGAGGGGGCGAGCGUUAUUCGGAAUUAUUGGGCGUAAAGGGCGCGUAGGCGGCUCGAUAAGUCAAAGGUGAAAUCCCUCGGCUCAACUGAGGAACUGCCUUUGAAACUGUCGAGCUCGAGUCCGGGAGAGGUGAGUGGAACUGCGAGUGUAGAGGUGAAAUUCGUAGAUAUUCGCAAGAACACCAGUGGCGAAGGCGGCUCACUGGCCCGGUACUGACGCUGAGGUGCGAAAGCGUGGGGAGCAAACAGG